CUGAAAUCGAUUAGUGAUAACGCGACUUUAGGAAAUUAACGUAUACAGUACCUAAAUCGAAAAUUAGGUGCAAGAAAUAUGAAUUUGGCACGGGGCACGGCAAUCAAGAAUUAUGUAAAAAGGUUAUCUAAAGGGUUGGAUUGGAAAGUGACGAUCGCUCUCAUCAACUCUCCCUGAAUCCGCCCCUGUCUUCAAUAAUACAAUUAUUAAAUCAAUUAAAUAUUUCAA